UUUCUGCGUCGGUGCCGUUGUGGUAUUUUGGCUCCUGCCAUAAAUCCAUUACACGCGGCUAUAAUUAAAGCUGUCCCAGCGGCCGGAGCUCCCUCAGCGCCCAGGCCCGGCCGGAGCCGCGCUCACCCCUCACACGGACCGCUCUCCCCUCACACCGACCGCUCUCCCCUCACACGGACCGCUGGCUCCUCACACGCACCGCUCUCCCCUCACACCGCCCGCUCUCCCCUCACACGGACCGCUCUGCCCUCACACGCACCGCUCUCCCCUCACACGCACCGCUCUCCCCUCACACCGCCCGCUCUCCCUUCACACGGACCGCUCUCCCCUCACACCGCCCGCUCUCCCCUCACACGCACCGCUCUCCCCUCACACGCACCGCUCUCCCUUCACACGCACCGCUCUCCCCUCACACGCACCGCUCUCCCCUCACACGGACCGCUGUGCCCUCACACGCACCGCUCUGCCCUCACACGGACCGCUCUCCCCUCACACGCACCGCUCUCCCCUCACACCGCCCGCUCUCCCCUCACACGGACCGCUCUGCCCUCACACGCACCGCUCUGCCCUCACACGCACCGCUCUCCCCUCACACGCACCGCUCUGCCCUCACACCGCCCGCUCUGCCCUCACACGCACCGCUCUCCCCUCACACGCACCGCUCUCCCUUCAUACUCACCGCUCUCCCCUCACACCGCCCGCUCUGCCCUCACACGCACCGCUCUCCCCUCACACGCACCGCUCUCCCCUCACACGCACCGCUCUCCCCUCACACGCACCGCUCUCCCUUCACACGCACCGCUCUCCCCUCACACGCACCGCUCUCCCCUCACACGGACCGCUGUGCCCUCACACGCACCGCUCUGCCCUCACACGGACCGCUCUCCCCUCACACGCACCGCUCUCCCCUCACACCACCCGCUCUGCCCUCACACGCACCGCUCUGCCCUCACACGCACCGCUCUCCCCUCACACGCACCGCUCUCCCCUCACACGCACCGCUCUCCCCUCACACGCACCGCUCUCCCUUCACACGGACCGCUCUGCCCUCACACGCACCGCUCCCCCCUCACACGCACCGCUCUCCCCUCACACGCACCGCUCUGCCCUCACACGCACCGCUCUCCCUUCACACGCACCGCUCUCCCCUCACACGCACCGCUCUGCCCUCACACCGCCCGCUCUCCCCUCACACGCACCGCUCUCCCCUCACACCGCCCGCCCUCAGCGCGCCGGGCCGCACCGAGGGGGGAGCAAAGUAAGGAAAGCCUCCCCCGCUUGGAGCUGCGCAAUGGACGCUCCCCGCUCGCGCCCCGCCCCCUCAUGCCGUCAUCGCCCCCGCUGGCCAAUGGCAGCGCGGCGCUGCCGCCGAGUGACGUCCCGGUCCCCGGAACUGUUUGUUCCCGCACGUGCGGUGCUCACGUGACGGGGCGGAGCGGAAGCGCGCGUCUCUAUGGUUUGUGCGUGGGGCAGAGCGGCCGCCCCGGGCCCUUGGCGGCGUUGGCGCCGCCGGGAGGCUGGCGGACUAUGAGUGUCCGUCCCUCAUUACCUCACGGCCGGGAGGAGGAGGAGGAGGAGGAGGAGGCUGCCGGGAUAGCGGCGGACCUGCCCGCGGCCUCGCUCCGGUCCUCCGGCCGCCCCGGGAAGCCCCGGCCGCGGCGGGCCCUGCCCGCUCCCCCGCCCGCCGGGCCCGCUUCUCCGGGGAGCCUCGCCCAGGCCCAUGGCCCCAUGAGGCGGCAGAAGGCUGCGGGGCAGCAGCAGCGGCGGCGGCGGGGCUGA
ensembl:lncRNA